rnacentral:misc_RNA from 1 species
UCCAGCUUAUCGCUGGCGGUCUCCUGCGAGUGCUCUCUUGCGAGAUAGCAACACAGGACAAGGGUUGCGCUCGUUGCGGGACUUAACCCAACAUCUCACGACACGAGCUGACGACAGCCAUGCAGCACCUCGACUCCACUCCCUUGCGGGAUAGCAGUGUUUCCACUACCGUUGGGAAGCCGUUCGAGCCCAGGUAAGGUUCUUCGCGUUGCGUCGAAUUGAACCACAUGCUCCACCGCUUGUGCGGGCCCCCGUCAAUUCCUUUGAGUUUCAGCCUUGCGACUGUACUCCCCAGGCGGCAUAUUUAACGCGUUAGCUCCGGCACAGAUCAACUGAAUGACCUACACCAAAUAUGCAUCGUUUAGGGCGUGGACUAC